rnacentral:tRNA from 1 species
GGGCGAUUAGCUCAGAUGGCUAGAGCGUCUGCUUUACACGCAGAAGGUCGCAGGUUCGAGCCCUGCAUCGCCCACCA